GGAAGACCUCCUGAUUUGGGAGACAAGAGAAGGACACUUAAAGAGUUUACCAAAGCCAUAGAAAAAAUAACCAUGGACUCCAGGAUUUAAACCCAGGUCUGUCCCCAGAGCCUGAGCUUUUAACCACCAUUGAGGUCCUAGCAUCAGGACCGAGUCAACGAAACUACUGUGGAAGUAGGCCCAGUUCUAGCACAAAUGCAGAGAAGAUGUGGAAUAAAGUAUAAUCCAAAUAAAUCUCCAGGUGCUAGGAAUGAAGAGAACCAUCAAAGGCAGAGCAGCUAGCUGAGCUGAUGUCAUAGUAGCCCAGAAGAAUAUGGAUCUGGAGUUAGGGCCGGGGGCUAAUACCUGUGAGAGGACAGGAGGAAGGCAGCGAGCCCUGCAUAAAAUUGAAGGCCUUGAGCUGGCAUGGUGGCACAUGCCUGUAGUCCUAGCCACUUGGGAGGCUGAAGCAGGAGGACCGCUUGAGCCCAGGGGUUUGAGGCCAGUCUGGGCAACAUAGUGAGACUCCGUAUCUUAAAAUAAAUAAAUAAAUAAAUAAAUAAAUAAAUAAGGCCUUGUGGCACUCUUCCCCCCUUAAAUGGAGAUAGAAAAACUGGACAUGGGCCCUGGGAAUCAGCCAGGAAGCUCACCAUUUGUUUAAGGUCUGGAACAUGAGGGGGAAAAUGUCAUCCAGAGAAACCUAAACCCUGGGCCUAUGCCAUGUGCAUAGGAGUGAGGGCCAUUGACACACUCAGCAUUCUGGCAGAAGCAAAUGUGUGAAUCAUCUCCGCGGAGAAAAUGUUACUACUCAAGAGUUUCAAGGAUUCCCAUUGGGAGAAACAACCUGCUGAAGACAAGUUCACAAUAAAAAAUUACAAACACCCUACUAUGCUGGUGAGAGUCAAAUCCUGUCUAAGAUUUAAAGAGUGAAAAAUAGGUUGGACUGGAAAAAGAAAGAAAAGAAAAAGCAACUGUCAAUUCAAGCCAGAAAGAAGACAGACAUAAAGAAAGCCAGCUGCAAAGUUCACAGGAACAUUGCUUCCCCCAAAGUCAGUCGGCAGCUGUAAAAUGCCAUAAAGACCCCCUCUUUGAACGUUGACUGCUUUCCUACCAAACUCCCAGACAGCUUUGCCAUACCCACCUAUUGCUGGUUAGCCCAUUGCUGAGCUACUGCUGCCUCAUGGCAGCACCCAAUACCUACUUAAUCCCCACUUCUCUUAACUGACCCCACCCCCAACCAGAGUAGGAGCAACCAAUCCAGAACUGAUGCCUACUUCCCUUAGAAUCUUCAGAAUCCUUCAGCAGCUUCCUGUCUUCCCUCUUUGGAGCGACACUCCACAUUUCCCCCGGAGUGGCCUCCCUUGCUGGACUGAGUUAAUAACUAAUUUGGUCAGACUACAGACUGGCUCCUGAUGCUCCGUGGUGAUUAGAUUUUUAUCAGUAGAGAGUUAGCAUAUGCAACAAACAGAAAAAUUGGCACUUAACCAAAAGUCAAUAGAGAAUCUAGAGGAUGCUAUAAAUAAUAAGUUGACUUUAAAUGAUUAAAGAAAUGAUGGUGAUAAUGAUAAUGAUAGCAAACAUAUAAUGCUGUUCUAAGGGCUUCACAAAAUAUUAACUCAUUCAAUCCUCACAAAGUUCCUGUGAAGUAGGUACUAUUGCUUUCUCUCUUUUACAGAUGAGAUAUUAGGAAAUUUGCUCAUGGUUACCACAAGCUAUUAGAGUGGCAGAGCUGAGAUUUGAACCCACGCAGUUUAGUUCCAGAGCAUAUGCAACUAAUCACUAUAAAUUAAAAAGCAACAGGACACUAUUAAAUAAAAGUAGGCCAAUUUGAAGGAAGAACCAAAUCAAACUUCCAGAAAUGAAAAAUAGAGUCACUCAUUCAUUCAUUCGUCAAAUAUUUAUUGAGCUCAUAUAAUGUGCCAGACACACAGAGGCUCUGAGGAUAUUGCAGUGAACAAACCAGACAAAAAUCCUUGUCCUAGUAGAGUUUACUUCUUUUUUUUUGGGGAUGGUGUCUCGCUCUGUC
rnacentral:lncRNA from 1 species